GCAGCCAUCUUUAUGUCUUUCCCCUCUUGCUGCAGACUUUUUCAUUUAAUGGUAUAAUUAUUAAAGGAUUACUGUACAUAGUGUUGUCUUUUGCAACUUAGUAACAGGGUCUAAAGGCUACAACGACAAAGGACGGAAGGAAUAAAUAUAUUCAUUUGAAUUUUGGUCAGAAUUAGAGAAACUUAACUUAGAACAAAACUAAAGAAAACAUGCAUACCUCAUGAUUUUUUUUCUUUUGGUAGGGCUUGUAUAGCUGAGCUGUAACACCCAAAAUUUGAAUUUCAAUUAAUAGGAUUUAAUUUGAAUUAUUUAAGAAUUUUAGUGAGCAUUUAAUGUAGCAAAUAAACAAUUUUUGUGGAAAUUUAAAAUUUAUCAUAAGCUUAGUAACAUGAUUUUGUGCAUUCAUGCUGAAACAUAUUUUAUUUUGUGGUGAUUGUAUUUGGUUUAUAUUUAAUUGUCCUCAAAAUCCUUUUUGAAAAAGGCUUUGAAAAAAAAGAGAAUAAAACAAAACAGAAAAGAAAUUGGAAAUAGAAGAAAAAAAAAGCCUUCCAGCCGCAGCCAGCAGCAGGCCGAGGCCCAAGAGCGCAGGCGCGCCUCCCCUCCUUUUCUCUUCUGCCGCUGACACCCCGGGCCCACCUGUCAGCGCCCUGUUCUUCUUCUCCACCGUAACAGAACCGGAGACGGAAAUCCCGGUUUCCUCGGUAUUCCUUCCCAAUCCGCGGGUCAUGCCCCUAUAAAACCCUCAAACCAACCCCGAAGCUCUCCUUUCGCAUCCAAGUCGCCGAAACCGAGCCCUAGCUACCGUGUCUGCGCGGGUUGGAUCUCGCCG
rnacentral:lncRNA from 1 species